rnacentral:lncRNA from 1 species
UUUUUUAAUUUUGAAUUGGUUUUGCAAGUGAAGUGAUGUUGAUGCUGAUUGAUUGAAAAAGGGGGGCUGUUAUUCAACAGGUUUUGGAAAAGUUCUGAAGAGUUGGUUUUGAAUUGGGAACUUCCAAAAGAGCUUUUGGAAGAGUCUGUGAAAUAUGAUGUUGAUGCUGAUUGAUUGAAAAAGGGGGGCUGUUAUUCAACAGGUUUUGGAAAAGUUCUGAAGAGUUGGUUUUGAAUUGGGAACUUCCAAAAGAGCUUUUGGAAGAGUCUGUGAAAUUUGCUUUUUUUUGUUAUUUAUGUGGAUACUUUUGGGUUAUAAUGUAAUAUUUGGAUUAAAUUUUAAUUAUGUAAUUAUCUUUUAAGCUUUUCAAAAUUUAACUC